rnacentral:rRNA from 1 species
GACGAACGCUGGCGGCGUGCUUAACACAUGCAAGUCGAACGGAAAGGCCCUGCUUUUGUGGGGUGCUCGAGUGGCGAACGGGUGAGUAACACGUGAGUAACCUGCCCUUGACUUUGGGAUAACUUCAGGAAACUGGGGCUAAUAUCGGACAGGAGCCCCUGCUGCAUUGUGGGGGUUGGAAAUUUUCGGCGGUUGGGGAUGGACUCGCGGCUUAUCAGCUUGUUGGUGGGGUAGUGGCUUACCAAGGCUUUGACCGGUAGCCGGCCUGAGAGGGUGACCGGCCACAUUAGGACUGAGAUACGGACCAGACUCCGACGGGAGGCAGCGGUGGGGAAUAUUGCACAAUGAGCGGGAGCCUGAUGAAGCAACGCUGCGGGCGGGAUGACGGCCUUCGGGUUGUAAACCGCUUUCGCCUGUGACGAAGCGGGAGUGACGGUAAUGAGUAAAGAAGCACCGGCUAACUACGUG